GACAGAGGUGCCGAGCGUUAGGCGGAAUCACUGGGCUUAAAGCGUGUGUAGGCGGAUCCGUAAGUACCUUGUGAAAUCCCACGGCUCAACCGUGGAACUGCUUGGUAUACUGCGGGUCUUGAGCCACCUAGGGGCAAGUGGAACAAACGGUGGAGCGGUGAAAUGCGUAGAUAUCGUUUGGAACGCCAAUGGUGAAAACAACUUGCUGGGGGUGUGCUGACGCUGAGACACGAAAGCGUGGGUAGCAAACAGG
rnacentral:rRNA from 1 species